rnacentral:rRNA from 1 species
GCCAGGGUAUUACGAGCCAAGCUUAAAACCCAAAGGACUUGACGGUGUCCCAUCCCCCUAGAGGAGCCUGUUCUAUAAUCGAUACCCCCCGCUACACCUCACCGCCCCUUGCAUGCCCAGCCUGUAUACCUCCGUCGCAAGCUUACUAUGUGAGUAUACUCCAGUUAGCCAAAAGGCUCAACGCCUACACGUCAGGUCAAGGUGCAGCCCAUGCGGCGGAAAGAAAUGGGCUACAAUCUCUACCCUAGAACAUACGGAAGACUACAUGAAAAACAGUCACAAGGCGGAUUUAGCAGUAAAAAGAAACCAUAGAGUUCUUUUUAACCGGGCACUGGGACGCGUACACACCGCCCGUCACCCUCUUCAAACAACAUCAAACGUUAUUAACGCCACACAAUUUUAAAAGAAGAGGCAAGUCGUAACAUGGUAAGCGUACUGGAAGGUGCGCUUGGAACAAAACGUAGCUUAACUAAAGCACCUUGCUUACACCAAGGAUAUAUCCAUUAACUUGGAUCAUUUUGAGCUUGAAACCCAGCCCCCCCCCCCCACCACCCAUCCACACACCCCCAAAAAUAAAACAUUUUAUCACUAAGUAAAGGCGAUGAAAAGUA